rnacentral:rRNA from 1 species
GAUGAACGCUGACAGAAUGCUUAACACAUGCAAGUCGACUUUGGCGGACGGGUGCGUAACGCGUAAAGAACUUGCCUCACAGAUAGGGACAACGUUUGGAAACGAAUGCUACUAGAUGAUACUGUGAGAGCGCUUUGCGUCCCAUUAGCUGGUUGGAGAGGUAACGGCGCACCAAGGCGAUGAUGGGUAGCCGGACUGGGAGGGUGAUCGGCCACAAGGGGACUGAGGCACGGCCCUUAUUCCUACGGGAGGCAGCAGCGGGGACUAUUGAACAAUGGACCAAAGUGUGAUCCAGCAAUUCGGUGUGUACGAUGAAGUUUUCGGAAUGUAAAGUGCUUUCAGUUGGGAAGCGGUACCAACAGAAGAAGUGACGGCUAAAUACGUGCCAGCAGCCGCGGUAAUUC